GCACAUCUGGGACAUCUGUAGAGCAUGAGACUCUUAAUCUCAGGGUCAUGGGUUUGAGCCCCACAUUGGGCA